rnacentral:lncRNA from 1 species
GCUGGCCAACUUCGUCCGCCGGACUCGCAAUGGCGUGAGCCUUUUCGAGGCACCUCCGUGUGCCAAAACUAUGCCACUGGCACAGCCGCGCCCAAAAAUAACUGCCCGAAGGCCGGGGCGCCAAGUUCGUCCAGCGGAAAAAGGCCACAAAAAUGGGUGGGCUAUGUCCUUGGGGGGUGGGGCUGGCCAACUUCGUCCGCCGGACUCGGAAUGCCGCGAGACUUUGCGAGUUGCCUCCGUGUGCCAAAAAUAGGCCACGGGCAAAGCCGCGUCCAAAAAUAACCACCCGAAGGCCGGGGCGCCAAAUUCGUCCAGCGGAAAAAGGCCACAAAAACGGGUGGGCUAUAGCAUUGGGGGGUGGGGCUGACGAACUUCGUCCGCCGGACUCGGAAUGGCGCGAGACUUUGCGAAGUGCCUCCGUGUGCCAAAAAUAGGCUGCGGGCACAGCCACACCCAAAAAUCACGGCCCGAAGGCCGGGGCGCCAAGUUCGUCCAGCGGAAAAAGGCCACAAAAACGGGUGGGCUAUAGCAUUCGGGGGUGGGGCGGGCGAACUUCAUCCGCCGGACUCGGAAUGGCGCGAGACUUUACGAGGUGCCUCCGUGUGCCAAAAAUAGGCCGCGGCCACAGCCGUGGCCAAAAAUAACGGC